CCUACGGGAGGCAGCAGUGAGGAAUAUUGGUCAAUGGACGCAAGUCUGAACCAGCCAUGCCGCGUGCAGGAUGACGGCUCUAUGAGUUGUAAACUGCUUUUGUAUGGGGGUAAAUCCCGAUACGUGUAUCGGGUUGAAAGUAUCGUACGAAUAAGGAUCGGCUAACUCCGUGCCAGCAGCCGCGGUAAUACGGAGGAUCCAAGCGUUAUCCGGAUUUAUUGGGUUUAAAGGGUGCGUAGGCGGGUCGAUAAGUUAGGGGUGAAAGCCCGGGGCUCAACUCCGGCACUGCCUCUGAUACUGUCGGGCUAGAGUUUAGUAGAGGUAGGCGGAAUGUAUGGUGUAGCGGUGAAAUGCAUAGAGAUCAUGCAGAACACCGAUUGCGAAGGCAGCUUACCAGACUACAACUGACGUUGAGGCACGAAAGCGUGGGGAGCAAACAGGAUUAGAUACCCUAGUAGUC
rnacentral:rRNA from 1 species